GCAGAGAGGAAUUACCAGUGUAAUUCUUUUUUUCUGAAAAUAUAAAAAUGUAACAGAUCACAGUCUAUCUGUUUGCUGUUUGAUUGGAUUUGGCAGUUUAUGCUUGUUCCUUAUUGUGUUACCUAAUUGAAAAAGAACUGAAGGGGACCAGCUCUUUUUAGUCAGUCGUUGACCGUCGGGGGUAUAUGCUUGGGAGACAGCUACAUCCUCAGAGUUCAGAAUCUUGACAUGCCUCCCUCAUGUUCAGGCAGUGGGGUACAGACUGGGAAACCUGUUGCAAGUGACCUCAGGUAAGUUGAUUUCUUAUAUCAUGAGCCUUUUCCUCUAAAAGAUAACAUUUAAUAUCCAGCAAGGAAUCACUGCCUAGGAAGAAAAAGAAAGCAAAAGAUUUUGAAACUUGUUAUGCCUGUGAUUUUCACAUUUGCGUUAAACGUUCCUUUCAAUUACAUGCGAUAUAACAUGAGUUUUCUUGUUCCUGGAAAAAAAUGAGUGGAGCAAGCUGUGCUAUCUAGUUGUGAGGAUGGGAAUGUACUUUUACAAUGGGAAGACCUUUUUUUUUUUUGUAAAAAGGAAGAUGAUGAAGAGACUGGUUAAAACUGAGUUGAGUGGCUCUAUUUCAACAGUUUGUUUGCUGUUUUUUCCCAAGUAACUUGGAUGGAGAGUAGGAUGAAUUACUAUCUUUAGUUUUUGUUUAUUUGGCAGUUGUAAUGAAUAGUUUACUCUAAUACAAAUGCCUGUAAUUUCCUUGUUUCCUUUGUGUGUACCAGGUAUUUGCUUGAUGUCGUUCUCUGAGUAGAAGGUAAUUUGCAUGUGUUUUCCCCACAUACUCUGUUCUUUUUUUUUUUUCUUUCGCCACAUACUCUGAAGCAGUCUUUACUUGUUUGUGUAAGAAAUCAUUGCUAGGUAUGGAUUACUAAGUAUUGGAAGCAUAAUGUUUGUGAUUGAUAGGGCACAUUUUAGUUGUAAAUAAAGUGUGGGUCACAGCACUGUUGUGUCAGGUAUUUCCCUUGAAGCUAUAGGGGUAUGAUUUAUCUGAUGAUUUUAAAAACAAAGCAUGUUUACUGGUAGUGUUACCUUGUGCUUCAACAGUGUAUUUAUUCAUUUUGCUUAUAUAAGGUGGACAUGUAAUUUGCCUCUUACAAAUAUUUACAUAAUGGUUAUACAGAUACUUUCCUGGGAACUUAAAAAUUACUUCCGACAUCCAUCUGUUCUACGAAUGAGAAUUUAGGUGAAACACUUAACGUGAGCAUUUCUUCAGGUCUCUGAUUUUAAUUUCCUAGUAUACAGACUUAUCUACCUCAAUAAUAAAAAUAACUCACAUUUAUAUGUCAUUUUUAGGUUCACAAAGCACUUUUUUCAAUAUCUGUGAGGAUAGGUCUUGUAGACAUUAUCUCUAUUUUACAGAUGAGGACAUAGCCUCAGAUCAUACACAAUAAACUGAGAUUUGAACUUAAGUCUUUUCCAUUCAAGGACCAAAGCAUUUUUCAUUGUACUUUAUUGUUUCUCAAGAGAUUAAACAGAUUGAAACUAUAGAUUAAGAAAAACUUUAGUUACAUGGGUGAUUACUAGAGCCACAACAGGUUAAAGAAAACUAGGAUUUGGGGAGGGUACUCUCACUUUUUUUAAGAUUGAAAUUAUGGUGAAGGAGAUCCAUAUUGCCCCGCAAUAGAAAUGGGCCUUGGACUUUGAGUGAUGAUUCUUAUAUUCCCCAUAAUUCUUCUCAAUGAAAUGCCAAGGUAACAAAGUUAAAUUGAUCUGAGAGUGAAAUUCUUUAGUUGUAGUGGUGUGAAUUAUUUCUGAUAAUGUAACAUCAUAGGCUGUUAAGAGUUGGAAGGGAUCUUAGAGGUCAUCUAGUUCAACUCACUUAUUUUAUGGAUGGAAAACUGAGCCCAGAAAAGGAGGGUGUUCAGUGACAAUCACAGGCAGCCCUACUGUGUCUUUUCUUGUCGGGAUGCAACAUGGCCUCCCUAAAAAUUCCACUAAAGUAAGUGAAAUUAUUUUAGUAUCCCUUGUACAUUUUUCUUGUUAUACUGCUUUGUUUCUUUUUAAAAAAUUUUAAUUAAUGCCUUUUGUUGUUACAUCAUAUUAUUUCCAGAUAUUUCCUUCCUUUUCCCAACUUGGCAAGCCGUCCCUUGUAACAAAAAAUUUUUUUUUAAAGAAAUAGGGGAAAAAGCAGUUUAGCAAAACCAACCUAUAUAUCAACUAUGUCUAAUGGUAUAUAUUGCAUUGCCUUUUAUGGCAGAGAAUUUUUUUUUUUAACACCGUGAACUUGCUGUGUAGGUUGGAAAAUAGACCUUUUUUAUCUCUUAAGACAAUCUUAAAACAGAGAAUAAAGGGGAUCAGAUAUUCAUCUUUAUCUUUGCAGUUUCUCUGGAAUUUUUAAGUUGUUAGAUACUAGUUAUUAUUGGUGCUAUGAAUCAUAGAUGUAACUAAGUUGAAAUGCUUGAAUGUGCAAUAGGAUAUAUUUAAAAUUCCUUGCUUGGGAAGUAUACAUAUACACAAUACACUUAGAAGAAUUGAUAUAUUUAUGCUAGCUACUUAUACAACAUUGCUUAUAAUAGGCAAGCUGGCCAUAGUAGGAGACCCAGGAUGUAAGAAAGAUGAUGCAAAUUUAGCUGAAAAUUACAAUUUUGAGUUUAAAAAUACAUUAUGAUAAGAGCUCCAAAUGUUCUAUUUAAAGAAGUCUGGUUUCUAAAACUAUGCAAGUAGUAAUUUUGGUAUAUACAAAUAAAAGUUACUUACAGGUAAAUCAUUAGGGACCACAAAUUUAGAUCCUUUAGAUUUUUGGUCCAGAUUAUCUUUGUUAUGGAAUUCUUUUUCAUAGUUUGAAAAUGAUGUCCAGCAACCUCAGAGGUAGCAAAGAGACUCUGUCUUACUGGUAGGGAAUUAGCUGUUAUACAAGUUAAGAAGCCCAGAACCACACUCCAGCCUAAAUUUGCAGUUUUGUUAUGUACUCAUUUGGAAAGGAAUUCAAUGAAUGACGAUAAAGUUAAGGUUGCUUUAGAUUCUAAAUGAUGGUGUCUUAAGUUUCUCUCAUACCUUUCUGCAGACAACUCAGAAUUAGUCACAAACAUUAUCUCAUUCAUGACAUUUUUCUGAGCUAAAUAUUACUGCCCAAAUUUCACAAGUUUCUUUAAAUUUGUGAAUGCAAUCAGUAUCAUUAUAGCUUUUUCGGUGAUGAUUUGAAACAAAGUGAGCAUAUAAACAUUCUGAGUUAUAUAAGAGUUGUUUCCUUUGUUUAAAGAGGUCAAAGUGAAGAUAAUGAGGACUUCUGGGUUGCUUUUACUAAUAAGACAUAUGAAACUGAAAUGUCCAUGUGCGUGCCCCACAGAAUAAUUUUAGUCUUGUUUCAUGAAUUAGUUUUACCAAAUUUGAGGGCUGCUGAGAUGGGUCCAUGGAAGAUUCUGUGGGUAGGAAAAGGCAAAUUAAAUCUUUUCCAUUUGAUGAUUAUGAAGUGUUCUACCUGACCUCAGGUAGUAGUGGUGAACAACAUAUUAAAUCUGGUCAGACUUUUAGGCUAUCUGUCCGUUGGGCCUAGGAAUGAAAACUCUCCCUAGGACUUUGAACAUUCACAUGUAAUAAGCAGCAUGGUUAUUUUAUUCAGUCGACUAGACUACAUUAAAGUAAUGUGAAGUCAGAUGACUUAAGCCUCAUUUUUGGAUGCCUGAUUUCCUGCUGAUCCAACGUUCAUACUUCCAAGUAUCUUGGAUAAAUUUAUUUUCAUCAUACACUAACAUGUACCUGAAAAAUACAUAGCAGUUCAUUCCUUUAGUUCUGUCAGAAUUAUUUACCUUUUUAUCUAGUGGUAGAUAGUUGUGAACCUGGAGAAUUAAUAUGAGAUAUUAACAAAACUGGGAUGGUUUUAUGCUGUGGAUAGGAACACAAUUGGAGACUACAUUGAUCUUUAUGGAAAACUAAAUGCAAAUUUCUUCCUCUUGAUAUAUGCAAAUUCACAUAGGUAAACAUUUUUAGAGUUAUAUAGGAGAACCAAGUAUAAGCCUAAUUGGAAAAAAAAAUCAUAUUUACUUGCUGCUACUUUGAAACUGGAGAAGGCUGUUCUCAACCAAGAGUCAUGCUGGGUUUCAUACUUGUGGUUGGGUAAGCUGUUUAGAAGUGAGCUCCAAGGAGAGGUGGCUGGUAGAGGUUGUGCCAGCUUAAACCACAGGUAUAUUUGGGAAGCCAGGAGGCGUUCUUCCAGGGCUGGGUGACCCUCGCGGAGGCAGAGGAUGGAUGCUGUGGCUGAGAGGAGAGCGGCACGCCCAGAGAGGAAUCCCAUGAAGCGGAGCUGGAGGGAUCAGGAGAGAUUCAGUACCUACGGGUUCAUCCCCCUGAAGUAUGGGUAUGUGGCCACACCGUAGUUUUGCCUGAGAAAAGAGUAUGGUGCCGGCCAUAUGGAACACAAUUAGGGAUAGCCUCCAGCAGAGCUCGGGUCUCCUGGCUUGGUACAAGAGAGAUGCUAUGGGACCAGUUAUUACCCCUCAUUCAGUCAGUGGUAUGGCAGGGCAUUUCGCCAAAUGUGAUAAUAAUUCACUUAGGGGAAAAUGACUUAGUCCAGCAGACUAAGCUAGGCCUAAUAAUCACCAUGAAAAACGAUUUGAUAACAUUAUGCAAAACCUUUCCUAAAGCAAAGAUUAUAUGGUCAGCUUUACUCCCCAGGAGAAUAUGGCCAGGGGCCCAGAAACCUGGCGCAGUUGAUAAAGCCAGGAAGGCACUGAUUAAAGAACUUUCUAAGUUUUGUAGCCUCUCUGGAAUUUCGGUGUUGAGACAUGAUCAGAUUGUAUAUUCUUCCCCAGAACUAUUUAGCCAAGAUGGAGUACAUCUGUCUGCAAUUGGGGAAGGCAUUUUUAAUGCCAAUCUGCGGGAAGCAAUUGAAGCUUGCUUAUAACCCACUUCUACUGCUUUGUUGAGUUCCUCUCCCUUCUUUAGGUGGAAUUAAUCCUUGCUUUGUAGCUUUAUCUCUAGUUCUUUCCCAUCCCUCCUGCUGGACAAGUCAUUUGCUUUUGGACAAGGCUUCCAAUUUUAAUAAGACUAGAGUGGGGAUUCUAGUGCCUCUUUGGGAUUAGAGAGACUCAUUUUGUACUGUAUUCCUUUGUGUGGGAUGGAUAUUGAGAAGGUAGGACUUCCAUUAUUAAACCUGUAUCUUGGCUUCAGAUUGGGGGACCAUUUGCUUCUCUGCUUUAAUCCAAGAGAGGAGGAAUAAUAUGUAAGUUUUCAAAGGAGACCAGGCAGAGACCAUUCCUAAAAGAUGUUAUAGGGUUUUGUGGGGUUUAUUGUUGUUGUUGUUGUUGUUGUAGUUGUUAUUGUAACAGGCUCUUUCCUGCCUUCUGCAACUGUACCCAAGAGCUGUGCUCACUCUUUUCCCCAGCAUUUUCCCACCCCUUCACAUUUAGAAUAUAAAACAAAGCAUUUCUAUUUCUUUUGUAUGUAAUUAAGUGACUUUUCUAAAUGACUGAAUAUAAGGCUCCUAAUAAAUCACUUCAUGUAAAGAUGUAUUACUUAGCAUUUCUAUUCAUAAGGGCUAUGGAUACUUACUGUCUGUCCUCACGAGUGUAAAUGAUGUUAUGAUCUGCACCAUUGUCUUUGUGGUAGAGUCAUUUUAUUGAUAAUUCUUAGACUUAAUUCAGUCCAGAUGUUAUAUAGAUAUAAUGUUAUUGUAGUAUUUUGUCCUUAAUAAAGUUACAGCUUGGAACUUUGUAAA